AUGGUUAUAAUAGGAGGAGAUGCGGGUGGCAAUGAAGGAGAUCGUUCUGGAAGUCAACCUCUUCGCCGGAACUCGAAGCGUCCUGCUAAUCGCCAGCCACGACUUGCGCAGAGUGUUGAGCAGGGAGAGGAUGUUGAGGAUGCUGAUCAGUUCCGUGUUGUAAAGAGGACUAGACGUGCAUCACUUGGCAAGGGAGCUGAGUCAUCUUCUAGGGCAGCAGUUGCUGGAGAAGCUGUCGCAUCUUCCGCAGCAGAUGCUGAGGGCAGCGGCGAAGGAGUUGAGGUGGCUCCAGGGGAAGAUGUGGAGCGACCAUCACAAGCAGGCAGGAUAAGGGCAUCACCAGCGCGCUUUGCAAAUUUCAACGCCUCUCUAACUCCACUACAGAAAUCAGAGCUAGUUUCGAGGUCGGUCGGGGGGCUAUUGAACUUAUCAGACACACUUCCAGCGGACCUCACUAAGUUCCUGGUGCAGCCCUACCAGCCACAGACCUCUGAAAUGGUUUUCCCAGGAAGGGGAAGGAUCCGUGUUGAUGCUGACAGUGUUCAGAGGGUAUUUGAUCUCCCAAACAAGGGUCCAAAAGUCAGAUAUUUAGUUGACAAGGAUGCCACUAGGAGAUUCAGACAGGCUUUCAACAUAACUGGAAAUUCUCAUCCCCAGAUCACUACAUGGCUCAAGAUGAUUGAGCAUAUGGCUGGAAGAACGGAUGACACAUUUUUUAUGGCCUGGCUUGCGAUACUAUACCUUGAUGCGCUCGUACAUGACAUCCCAGUAAGCAACUGCGCGAUACGAUCGAAUGCAUGGGAUAGUACUCUAAUUGCCAAGGUGAUCAAGAAGGAUACUAUCUCUCCUGGUGUGUUCGGCAAAUUACAACUUAAAGAGGAGUAUAGAGGCACGGAGCAGACACCACUGUUUGGUGGAAUUUUGCAAGCUGAAGCAUUUGUGGCAUCCAAGUUACCAAUAACAUACAAUCCGCAGAAAAAGGCAAAAAUUGCGAAAGUGGUCAAUGAGCUAUGCAAGGCUGUAACUGAACAGGUUGGCACCUUCAUUAAAGAAGUUGCCAAGAUUGAUGACGAGGAACCAGAUAUUGAUCCUUAUGAGAUGCCCUGGUCCUUGAACCCUUACGAAGAUCAAACUCUUAUCAUGGUGACGGGUUCUGCGAUGCACCAUCUUUUGACCUCGGCAUAG
rnacentral:rRNA from 1 species